rnacentral:rRNA from 1 species
UACAGAGGUCUCAAGCGUUGUUCGGAUUCAUUGGGCGUAAAGGGUGCGUAGGCGGCGCGGUAAGUCGGGUGUGAAAUCUUGGAGCUUAACUCCGAAACUGCAUUCGAUACUGCCGUGCUUGAGGACUGGAGAGGAGACUGGAAUUUACGGUGUAGCGGUGAAAUGCGUAGAUAUCGGGAAGAACACCAGUGGCGAAGGCGGCUGCCUGGCCUGUAACUGACGCUGAGACGCGAAAGCGUGGGGAGCGAACCGG